CUAGUACUAUUAUUAUUAUAUGUAAAUAGGAAAAUUUUAAUUUUUAGUUUUCACAAAGGAUACAAAUGUCAAUUCACUCCUUAUUCUCAUUCCCAUCUCUCCUCAUGACAGUCUCUCUAAUUCAAUAUGAGUAACUUAAUUGUCCAGUCAUAAUUGAAGAUUCAAUCUCGAGUUCUCCUUCCUCAAUUUUGAAUUUAUUGGACCCGCUCCAAUUUCAUUCUCAUUUCUUUAUUUUUUUGCAAGUAAACACUAAUGACGAUUUUCAUUCCUAUUCUCAUGUCUCAAUCCCACUAGCAAACACACCAUUAGCUCCUUGAUAAGAUUUCAAAAUACUUUCAAUUCACAAUGAAAUAAAGAAAUUUUCUUUUCCACACUGAGCUAAUUAGGAUCUUCUCUUCUUUCAAAUCUCGGUCUAGUGUAAUGAAUGGGGGCCCUUUACAUAUUCCAAAGAAAUGGAUUCCAAGUCAAAGAAAAAGCCCAAGCCAAUUUAAUAGGCAGCAUUGAGAGGCCCAUAUGUUAAACAAUGCAUUAGUGACUCUUAAUUCUUGUUAUCCUCAGCAUUUUGCACUGGCGCCGUCAUCACCAAUGCACCCACCAGUUUUCAACCAUGCCACACUACCACAACUUAGGUGGCGUUUAUUUUUUUAUCUGAAAUCUGAAUAGAUCUGAAUUCUGAAUAGAUCUGAAUGUCUGAAUCUGAAUAAUAUAUUUAUUUUUUUGUCUGAAUCUCAGAAAAUAAGUAUUAAGUUGUUUGUUUUUUUCAACUUAAAAAGGUGAAAAUAUGUACUUUUACAUUUGUAUCCUUAUUAA
rnacentral:lncRNA from 1 species